AGAUUUUCCAUUUUGCCAAUUUCAACCCCCCAACAAACAUUUCGCAAUUCCCGGAGAUUCGGCCGUCGGAUUUUCGAUCGGAUCGCGCCAACGCGUUCAGCAUGACUGGGGCAUUGAAUUUACGAUUUCGUUUCGUCCAAUUUGGUCGCCGAUUUGCGACGAAACUAACCCUCUCUGCGAUUCACAUUGUAACCCCCCCCUACAUAUAUAUAUAUAUAUAAAAUUUGAAUUUAAAAAUUCUAAAUCCGA
rnacentral:lncRNA from 1 species